rnacentral:rRNA from 1 species
UUAACCUCAAAUCAGGUGGGACUACCCGCUGAACUUAA